GAGAGAGUGAGAGAGUGAGAGAGUGAGAGAGUGAGAGUUAGAGCAAAGCAAAACGCACAAUGUCUUUUGCAGCAUCUAGGGUUUUCAAGGGCUGCAGAGCCCUCUUAGCCCCAACGAAAUCCGCUGCCUCUACAACAACCACCGCUGCGUCAAAAUCCAAAGCCACAAAGGCAGCAGCACGGAAACAGAAGCCAAAUCCGACAAAGCCUCUUAAGCCUUCUGGCAUACUGAAAGUCACCCCCGUAUCCCCCGCUCUUCGCGACUUUCUCGGGGUUCCUGAAUCUUCUCGCAGUGAUGCGGUGAAGAAUAUCUGGUCUUAUAUCAAGCAGCACAACUUGCAGAACCCUGCUGAUAAGAAGGAGAUCUUUUGUGAUGAGAAGCUGAAGA
rnacentral:misc_RNA from 1 species